AGUUGUCAUUUGUUGCACUUGCCAUUAGGGGAGUGCAUCACAACAUUCAAUCUAGAGGAUGCCGUGUGCAACCAUGGCUUUUUGAUGAUGGCUCCAAACUCAUGGAUUCCAUCUACUAAAACUCUUCAACGACCAUUACGACUUGCAAACUCCACCACCUCUAUCAUGAAACAAGUGGGUCGGAUGCUAAGGAUAUCAGAAGGAGAUGAAAGGAACGCGAGGGAGUUUCAAAACAUGCAUCCAGAAGCAAAGAAGAAAGGUUUCGGUCGACUUUUUCGUUCUCCCACGCUCUUUGAAGAUGCUGUUAAGUCCAUCCUUCUUUGCAACUGCAAGUGGACGAGGACAUUGGAUAUGGCUAGAGCUCUAUGUGAACUUCAAGCAGAGUUAGCUGAUGACUGGAACA